AAAUUGAAGAGUUUGAUCAUGGCUCAGAUUGAACGCUGGCGGCAGGCCUAACACAUGCAAGUCGAACGGUAACAGGAAGCAGCUUGCUGCUUUGCUGACGAGUGGCGGACGGGUGAGUAAUGUCUGGGAAACUGCCUGAUGGAGGGGGAUAACUACUGGAAACGGUGGCUAAUACCGCAUAACGUCGCAAGACCAAAGAGGGGGACCUUCGGGCCUCUUGCCAUCAGAUGUGCCCAGAUGGGAUUAGCUUGUUGGUGAGGUAACGGCUCACCAAGGCGACGAUCCCUAGCUGGUCUGAGAGGAUGACCAGCCACACUGGAACUGAGACACGGUCCAGACUCCUACGGGAGGCAGCAGUGGGGAAUAUUGCACAAUGGGCGCAAGCCUGAUGCAGCCAUGCCGCGUGUAUGAAGAAGGCCUUCGGGUUGUAAAGUACUUUCAGCGGGGAGGAAGGUGUUGCGGU
rnacentral:rRNA from 2 species